GAUGAACGCUGGCGGCGUGCCUAAUACAUGCAAGUCGAGCGAACGGACGAGAAGCUUGCUUCUCUGAUGUUAGCGGCGGACGGGUGAGUAACACGUGGAUAACCUACCUAUAAGACUGGGAUAACUUCGGGAAACCGGAGCUAAUACCGGAUAAUAUUUUGAACCGCAUGGUUCAAAAGUGAAAGACGGUCUUGCUGUCACUUAUAGAUGGAUCCGCGCUGCAUUAGCUAGUUGGUAAGGUAACGGCUUACCACGGCAACGAUGCAUAGCCGACCUGAGAGGGUGAUCGGCCACACUGGAACUGAGACACGGUCCAGACUCCUACGGGAGGCAGCAGUAGGGAAUCUUCCGCAAGGGGCGAGAGCCUGACGGUGCAACGCCGCGUGAGUGAUGAAGGUCUUCGGAUCGUAAAACUCUGUUAUUAGGGAAGAACAUAUGUGUAAGUAACUGUGCACAUCUUGACGGUACCGAAUCAGAAAGCCACGGCUAACUACGUG
rnacentral:rRNA from 1 species